ACGUAGGGUGCGAGCGUUAAUCGGAAUUACUGGGCGUAAAGCGAGCGCAGGCGGUUCUGUAAGUCAGAUGUGAAAUCCCCGGGCUCAACCUGGGAACUGCGUUUGAAACUACAGGGCUAGAGUAUGGGAGAGGGGGGUAGAAUUCCACGUGUAGCAGUGAAAUGCGUAGAGAUGUGGAGGAAUACCAAUGGCGAAGGCAGCCCCCUGGCCUAAUACUGACGCUCAUGCUCGAAAGCGUGGGGAGCAAACAGGA
rnacentral:rRNA from 1 species